CUAGGUGAUAUAUGAUACUCUCGAUUGAUCCAAGUACUAACUGUUAGUUGAGAAGGAAAGUAAAAUUUGUCUCAAGCAGUUUGUCCAUAGAAAGUUGGAAUAGACAGGGUACCCAAAUGCACAAACUUCUACAACAAUUAUGCCUAGGCUAAUGUAAUUUAUUUGAUUCCAAAAUUCAAGGAUCUCAAUUCCAUUUUCUCUGUAGUACUCCCUCCGUCCCAUAUUAUAAGCAAAAAAAUCACUUUUUCUUGUCCCAAAUUAUAAGCAAAAGUAACUCACUUUUAUCAUUUUCAAGAUUUACUUUUACUUAUUCUCAUGAAAUUUAAUGCAAAUUGCAUUUAAUUUACUCUCUCUCUCUCUUCUAUUCCCUAUAAUCAAUAACCAAUAAAAAUUCUUUUUACAUCUUCCUAUGAAACUUAUUUCAAGAAAAACACAAAAAGUUGAUCAAAUUAUCAAAUUCUACUUUUCUUAGAAAACUUUUUUUUUGCUUAUAAUAUGGGACGGAGGGAGUAUAUACAUUUGUACAAAUUCUUGAAAAGAUACAAUGA
rnacentral:lncRNA from 1 species